rnacentral:lncRNA from 1 species
ACUUGAUGCGCCUGGGUCUAUUAGUUUGUUACAAAAUAAGUUGCUAGUCUGUUUUUGCAUCUUCUGUACAGGCACGAUGUAUAAGUGCCGUUUGUUUUUGUAGCACCUGGUCAUCUUAUCUGUCAGGUUGUUAGCUUUCUAUUCUGCAUGUAGAUUAGAUCGUGGCUAGCUCGGAUCGUGGGAUGGCACGUUCAGUAGUUGAGCUGGUAAACCGCGGAUUGGUUUUCCAUGUAACGGAUCUUGGCCAUCCGACAGAAUAAAGAGAAGAGAAACAGAAAUGUAACAUCCCAAAAAUUUCAAACUUUUACAUAUCCAUUGCAUCCAUAAGCACCAUGCCACAAUUGCAUGUUUGAAUUCAAAAUUGAAUCUCAAAAAGGUUUUAAAAGUUUUAAUUUCAACUUAAACCCUAGGGUUUACACCCAUAUGAGCUUUGGGUUUUCAAACCAAUAGGUUUUAUGUAUAAAAGGGGUUUAAUGCAUAUAUAAGCUAUCCCAUAAUUUUGGAUAAUUAUUUGGAGUUGAAAAAGUAGUUUAUUUAAAUAGAUAUAUAGCCUAGAGGCAUUUAUAGGGCAAAUGUAUUUUUAUAUAUUUUAUUUUGAGGGGAAAACUACUCCCAAAAGUUGUAUCAUGGUAGAACAUGAUUUUACAAAUUUUCUGGAAUUUAUUUGGACCAAUUUGGAGUUCAAAAUCAAAAGAUAUCAAAGGAAUAAGAAAAACAGAAAAGGAAAAGGGUAAAAGAAAAAAAAAGAACGAACGGACCGGCCCGGCCGAAUUGGGCCGAACCGGCCCAACUCCUCGCGCACGCCCGCCGCCCAGCCCACCC